rnacentral:rRNA from 1 species
AACGCGAAGAACCUUACCAGCUCUUGACAUGCCCGGACGGUAUUCAGAGAUGGGUAUCUUCCCGCAAGGGACCGGGAUACAGGUGCUGCAUGGCUGUCGUCAGCUCGUGUCGUGAGAUGUUGGGUUAAGUCCCGCAACGAGCGCAACCCUCAUCUUCAGUUGCCAUCAGGUUAAGCUGGGCACUCUGAAGAAACUGCCGGUGACAAGCCGGAGGAAGGCGGGGAUGACGUCAAGUCCUCAUGGCCUUUAUGGGCAGGGCUACACACGUGCUACAAUGGCGGUGACAAUGGGAUGCGAAGGGGCAACCCUUGGCCAAUCUCAAAAAGCCGUCUCAGUUCGGAUUGUCCUCUGCAACUCGAGGGCAUGAAGCUGGAAUCGCUAGUAAUCGCGGAUCAGCACGCCGCGGUGAAUACGUUCCUGGGUCUUGUACACACCG